CAAUAGCAUAUAUUAAAGUUGUUGCAGUUAAAAAGCUCGUAGUUGGAUUUCGGGACGGGCCAGUUGGUCCGCCGCAAGGUGUGUUACUGACUGGUCUGUUCUUCUUCGCAAAGACUGCGUGUGCUCUUCGUUGAGUGUGCGUAGGAUUUACGACGUUUACUUUGAAAAAAUUAGAGUGUUCAAAGCAGGCUAUCGCUUGAAUACAUGAGCAUGGAAUAAUGGAAUAGGACUUUGGUCCUAUUUUGUUGGUUUCUAGGACCGAAGUAAUGAUUAAGAGGGACAAUUGGGGGCAUCCGUAUUUCGUUGUCAGAGGUGAAAUUCUUGGAUUUACGAAAGACGAACAACUGCGAAAGCACUUGCCAAGAGUGUUUUCAUUAA
rnacentral:rRNA from 1 species